rnacentral:lncRNA from 1 species
UAAUUUGUAAAAAAUAAUUUUAACCCUAAAAUUAAAACCUAUCAUUAAAAUACCUAAGCCCUUACUCUCAAAUCGUGAAAUCCCUAAAAACUCUUUGGAUGAAAAAACAAUCUCCAACUGCUGAGAAAUUGAGACAACUUGACCGUACAAAUUAAGUGAAGAACACAAGUAAGAUGAUCUAUUCUUCAAUUACCACAUUGCUAAUGUAAACGGGCCAAUUUGCCCGAGUCCACCAAAAUACAAAAUAAAUAUAAAAUCCAUAAAAAUUAAACCAAAUUAAUAAUCAAAGUCCAAUUAUAUAACCCAAAUCAAAGACCCUAAAACCAAAUUAGCCCAAAUACAAUGGCCUAAUACCCAAAAUACUAAGGUUUUCAGAAAAACCUAGCCCUAAACCUAAUGCUUGCGCCGCAGAUAGCCUCCAACGCCUCCAUACGCUCCAGCGCUUCAGCAGCUACGCCCGCGCCUCCGUACGCUAGCACACAGCCCCCGUACUCGCGCCACGCACACCCCGUACCUACAAAAAGGACGAACGAACAGUAAAAACAAAAAAAAAUAUUGUAUUUUUUUAUUUAUUUUUAUCAUUUCUAUCUCUUCGGCUAUAAAGCCAAGAGAUUCCAUUUUUGUAAGGUUACGCAGACCAAAAACAUACAUGCAAUAGAAAGCAAUCAAAAAAACAGAGAAGGUGAUUUCCACUUUCGAUUUCUAUAAUCUUUUUCUCUUUCUCUUUACUGGUAUUUACUCAAAUCUUUCAUCAUUGUAUUUUGAAAAUAAAAGAAAAGGGAUGAGAUGAACUUUACCUUGCGUUUAGGCCAUCGGUUCUCCUUUGCUUCGCCGAAAUCGGAGUUUUGAAGGGAGCUUCGAGGCUACAAAGUAGUCAUUCGUAGCCUAAGAAUGCUAACCGCCGUUGUGGUGACGGUGUGGCGUUUGAGGGAAGGGGAUUAGGGUUCGGUUGAGGAGAAAAUAUGGGGAGCCUAGGGCUUUGUUG